GAUGAACGCUGGCGGCGUGCCUAAUACAUGCAAGUCGAGCGAACAGACGAGGAGCUUGCUCCUCUGACGUUAGCGGCGGACGGGUGAGUAACACGUGGAUAACCUACCUAUAAGACUGGGAUAACUUCGGGAAACCGGAGCUAAUACCGGAUAAUAUAUUGAACCGCAUGGUUCAAUAGUGAAAGACGGUUUUGCUGUCACUUAUAGAUGGAUCCGCGCCGCAUUAGCUAGUUGGUAAGGUAACAGCUUACCAAGGCAACGAUGCGUAGCCGACCUGAGAGGGUGAUCGGCCACACUGGAACUGGGACACGGUCCAGACUCCUGCGGGAGGCAGCAGUCGGGAAUCGUCCGCAAUGGGCGAAAGCCUGACGGAGCAGCGCCGCGUGAGUGAUGAAGGUCUUCGGAUCGUAAAACUCUGUUAUUAGGGAAGAACAAAUGUGUAAGUAACUAUGCACGUCUUGACGGUACCUAAUCAGAAAGCCACGGCUAACUACGUG
rnacentral:rRNA from 1 species